rnacentral:tRNA from 1 species
GCCUUCGUGGUGUAACGGUAGCACACUUGGUAUGCUACACUCCCAUAUUCCAGAGGUCCAGGUUCGAGUCCCAGUGAGGGCA